GGGGUUGUGGCUCAGCGGUAGAACGCUCACCUAGCAUGUGUGAAGCCCUGGUUUCGAACCUCAGCACCACA
rnacentral:tRNA from 1 species